CCAUUAUCCAUUCCCUCUGCAAAUGUGUGUGUGUGUGUGUGUGUGUGUAUAUAUAUAUAUAUAUAUGUAUAGUUACCAUUAUCCAUUCCCUCUGCAAAUGUGUGUGUGUGUAUAUAUAUAUGUAUAUAUAUAUACAUAUAUAUAUACACACACACAUUUGCAGAGGGAAUGGAUAAAGG